UACGAAGGGGGCUAGCGUUGCUCGGAAUCACUGGGCGUAAAGGGUGCGUAGGUGGAUAUUUAAGUCAGGGGUGAAAUCCUGGAGCUCAACUCCAGAACUGCCUUUGAUACUGAGUAUCUUGAGUUCGGGAGAGGUGAGUGGAACUGCGAGUGUAGAGGUGAAAUUCGUAGAUAUUCGCAAGAACACCAGUGGCGAAGGCGGCUCACUGGCCCGAUACUGACACUGAGGCACGAAAGCGUGGGGAGCAAACAGG
rnacentral:rRNA from 1 species